GCGGCACAGGAAAUAAUAAUAUCGGUUGUUAUUGAUAUCGAAAAUAUCGAUUUAACGUUAGUCGUUCUCCGGACGCCGAGCCGAACAGAUGCGUUAUUCCGCUCUCCUCACGAAUCCAGCGAAAAACGAAUGGGACGAAUAUCGCGUCAAUCAAGUUCGAAAAGCUGGAAAAUUCAUAUCGGCGAAUAUUCGAAGUGUCUGUCGUUCAACGAACUGCCGGGGGAUCUCUCUCUGUUCGAAGUACACGGUGGCGGGGAGGGUACACAAAUAAACUUCGCGCAACCCACAAAGCCGUGUGUAAUCCAAAAGUUUGGCUCUUCAACGCCGCAGUAAAUCCAUCACGGUUCGAGUUAUCUCUCGAUCGACUUCGAGUGGCCGAAAUUCAGCUAGAUGCUCCAUAUAAAUCCGUGCCGGGCAGUGGAGGAUCCAGUUUCAUAAUUGGUUCGAUAGGGUGUCUACUGGAGGACUUGGGAUUAUUGCCAAGAACUUUUCGAAUCUUAUUUUUCUCGGGGAAAAAAACACGUAUCGUAAGGUCUUCCAAAACAUUCAACCACGGCAUUAUAUCGUACAAUACAUUUCCAAGGCUGCAAUCGAACAUAGAAUGGAUUCGUGGCCUGAAUACUGGAGGAGAGUCUGUUUGAACCUUAAAGGCGAAGCUUUCAAUAUAGAUAUUCACAUUAUCCGGAAGAAUAUUUGGAACUUACAAUUUCAUGAACCAUUCAACUUGCGAUUGAAACCAGUUGCGGUUUGAAAAUCGUCUGAACCUAAUAAUUCUCGUUGUCUCUGUUACCCUCUUGUGAUUCUAACCCUCUUGAUCGUCAAUACUGAUUAACGUAUCAUAAACCCAUGACAUAAUACGUACAGUAGGUAAUCCUAAUAGACGGAAUAGUGCUCAUCUCCCGUAAGCCUAAUUUCCUUGUCAUAUUCUAUAUACAUGUACAAACCACAUUAUCUCGCUGUGUCUUGAAAAUGAAAAUUCGUAAUUUCGAAAAUUAUUUAGAAAUAUUUUAAGAAUGGUAGAUUAAUAGAUAUGACU